rnacentral:rRNA from 1 species
GAUCAUGGCUCAGGAUGAACGCUAGCGACAGGCUUAACACAUGCAAGUCGAGGGGCAGCAUAAAAGUAGCAAUACUUGGUGGCGACCGGCGCACGGGUGAGUAACGCGUAUGCAACCUACCUAUCAGAGGGGAAUAACCCGGCGAAAGUCGGACUAAUACCGCAUAAAACAGGGACACCGCAUGGUGAUAUUUGUUAAAGAAAUUCGCUGAUAGAUGGGCAUGCGUUCCAUUAGGUAGUUGGUGAGGUAACGGCUCACCAAGCCGACGAUGGAUAGGGGAACUGAGAGGUUGGUCCCCCACACUGGUACUGAGACACGGACCAGACUCCUACGGGAGGCAGCAGUGAGGAAUAUUGGUCAAUGGGCGAGAGCCUGAACCAGCCAAGUCGCGUGAAAGGAAGAAGGAUCUAUGGUUCGUAAACUUCCUUUGCAGGGGAAUAAAGUGCAGGACGUGUCCUGUUUUGUAUGUACCCUGAGAAUAAGGAUCGGCUAACUCCGUGCCAGCCGCAGC